UAUUUUGGCUGGUGGUUUCAGUUUGUGGUCACUCGGCCCCACUGUUUUGGGCUUGUGGUGGCAACGUGCACCAUGGCAGGAUGCAUGGCAGAGGGGUCUGCUCAGUUCGUGGCAGGCAGGAAGUAAAGACAGGAAGGGAGGCCGGGAGGGGCCGAGAGCCCCGCGUUCCCUUCAAACGUGCCCCCCAGGGCCUCACUUCCUCCCACCAAGCUCUGCCUCCCUAAGGUACCGCCUCCUUCUGGUGGCCCCAGGGCCGGGGACCAAGCCACCAGCACACGGGCCCUGCAGGGCUCAUUUAGGUUCCAGGCCAUGCCAUUCCUCACGCCAAUUUCCAGCUGGGAAUAAAGGGUUUCUUCCGCAGAGCCACGCCGUGGCUGGCGUCCCCUGUAUCACGCCUUCCCUGCCUCGUCCCACUUUCAAGGGCUGAACACACACCUGGUGCACACUUGUCCCUGCUGACGUCCGGCACUGUCAGGACAGGAGGUCUCUGGCUCCUCCUCUGAUGCCGUCAGCCACGUGCAGCCGCAGGGACUUUACCCUCACUGAGUCUGGAAGAAGUCAGACCUGGCAGGGGUCAGUGCUUGGUGAGGCCGGGGCUCCUGCUCAGGGCCGAUGUCCUUUGCUAAAACUGAACUUUCCUGUGUGGUUCAAGGAUGGCUCUGUGACCUCAUGCAAUCGUCAUGAACAAGAGGCCAGGGUGGAUGCUGCAUGGGGACAUUCCUGAUAUCAUAGGACACAGUGGAUGGAGAGGCCGUGGCUGGUGUGGGGCAGCCAUGAUGUGGCCUGUCACCCGGCAGAGGUUCUGCCUCGGUUUCAUUGAGAACGUUCAAUGCUGAGCACACUGGGACCUUGAUGCAGGGCAGCCCCGUGGCCAUUUGUGGUGGAAAGCCUGACGGUCUCUGCUGUGGGAGAGGAAGAUAAAGAAGCCUUCCCUAAAAAAAUAAACUUACACCCGACCGAGGAGGCUGGAGCCAGAUGUGCGGUGCCCCACAUCUCCGUCUCAGGAAACCAGCUCAGUACAGUGCUGGUGCUGUCCCCGAGGUGUGCGGGGCAGAGUUCCCAGCCAUGCGGCCCAGAGGACUCUGCUUCCUGCUGGCUGGGAAACGGAGCUUGCUGGCUUUCCAGCACCUUCUCAUCUGAGCCUGGGGGGAUGGUGAGCCCGACUGCCCUGCAGAGAACCCCCCAGUUCCCUGAGGUCUGCAGCUCCUCAGAGAAUCUCCAGCUCUGCUUCGAGGCACUGAUUCCCUACCAGCAUCCUUCCUGGUGUGACGCCCGCCACACAGGGCCCUCCGGCCACAUCAACAUCCAAGCUGGAGGGCCAGAGAGCAGACGCUGAGUUUUGUGCACCACCCUCCCCCUGCCAAUUAUGAUUAUUAAUUCUAAUUCAGACUCACUUUCUCUUAACAUCUCUCCCAAUUCUAUUUUUGUUUGUACAUUUUACAGUGUGUCAGUGGAAGAUGCUGGACGUAUUCUUGCUGGGCAAUCACAUCGCUAUCACUGACACGGAGGGAAGCAAGUGAGGGAAUUAGAUCAACCUGGGGAGGAAGGAAAUUAAGGGUGUCUGAGGCUAACGCGUUCUAUCCCCUGCCAUGUCCCCUGCAUGCAGGCGCCACCCAUAAGUGCUGCCCUGUGGCCGCUGGGAUCCCAGUGAUUUCACCCUGUUGUGCUUCCUGACCCAUCAGAGAGCCGCGGCCUCUGGGACGGUGACAUACACGGCCGGGGAGAUUCUGACACCCACAGAGAGAAGCCAGCAGCCCCCGGAGAGUCUGAGGGUGAUUUCACCUGUCUGAGUAGCAUGGGUACCUCACUUCCGAAAGCUGCAGGGGGCUUGAGCCCUGGAGCAGCCGAGUACAGCAGGCGGCCCCUGGAUGUCGGGAGCGCAGCUGUUUUCCUGAGGUCCUGAGGCCUCCGUGCACGCCCUGCCCCAGGGCCCUAGAAUGCCCACCCUGAAGGAGGUCUAAGGAGCAACACUUCUCUGUUCCUUUCUUUUCCCCUGCUGGCUUCUGUGGCUUGCGAUUCUGCCCCAGCCACUCCCCCGACCCGGCUGUGCUGUGCUCAGUGCCCCAGGGACAGACUCUGCUUCCUGCUCCAGCCUCCUAGUCUGGCUCUGGCCAGGGGGCGGGGUUUGCAGGAGUGGCAGGGCCAGGCGGCCUGGGGUCUCCUGUGCCCCUCUCCCUGCUUCCACCCCACGGUUCCAGAACUGGCAGUGACUUCCGUGACGUGACCCCUUUUCCAGAGCUCCAGCCUUCCUGGGACCCCAGGAACACAAACCAGGGGUGGCAAAAGCUUCCUACUCCUGCUCUGAUUCCUGGCUGUCUCUUGUCGGUUCCUUCUGUCUCAUCGGCCUCCCACUGCUUGCUUCCCAGCAGGACCCCAUAGAUGUGCUUUUCUUUCCCACACGGUUGUGUACCUGCCUCCGACAAGAUUUUUGCAUUGAAAGUAGCAGGGAUACAUCUCAGACAUCAUAUGCAAUGAAGGGCAUUUAUUGGCUCACCAGCGGUCUUUAGUGUCAGGUACAGCUGCAUCCAGGUGCCCUGGCCUCUGUGGGCUUCUCUCCUGUGACCUCAAUGGGAGUCGCAGCCACAGGCCGAUGAUUUACAUUCUGAACAGCUGCCCUGGAAAGAUGAGCACUCCCUCCCACAGAAGAAGCCUUCGAUCCUGAUCCUGGUAUUCACGCUGCUGUGUGAGGCCACGUCACCUGGCUGCCUACUUCUGGGCUGGGCAUGAGGCUGGCGAGGAGGAGGCUGGGAGAUGGGCAGUCCUCCCCCACCACUGGGACUGAAGACAAGGGGAGCAUAUUUCUCAGGUGGAAAUUAGAAGACAGGGAACAUAAGAUAAGGAAAAUUAUGGCCACAAAUCAGAACCUGGCUCAUUCAGAUGUCUCAAUUCUGUGGAAAAAUGGAUUUUCUUCCUCACUCUCUUUUGUGAACUGUUUUUUUGAACCCUCUUUUUAUGGGACCUCAGGAUAUCUUGGCAGAUUUAACUGCUUUCUGGCCCACUGACAUUGAUCACAAUGAGUUCAACUCACCUUCAGCAGGGAUCCUUGCAGUUUUCAUGGAACCCUGGCCACCUCUCUCUCUCUCUCUCUCUCUCUCUCUCUCUGAUUGUUUUAAAAGGAGUGCAUGGUCCCUCCUUGCACUGACUUCCUGUCUCACUCCAUACCUCUUCCUCUUCCCUGCUGAAGGUGGUCCCCAGUGACGUCACAAGGCCUCCUUCCACACUGCCACACUUCUCUCACGUGCUCCGUGACGCACGUCCACUGCACAGCGUCCACCAGAAGCCCGGCAGCACAGUCGCCUCUUCCCGCUUGUGUGCGAGCUGCAGAGGGAGGGUCUCCCCACGCUGGUGGGGUUUGCCUGCUGCCUGUGGAGGGGUGUCUACGUGGCUUCCCAGAAUCCUCUUUAGAUGUUUUAGCCUCCUUCCCUCAACUUUGGGGACUUUGUGGCAAUUCUGGAGCAACAGGAGCAGCCCCCAACCUGGUUCCUCCAGUGUAAGUGACAGAGAAAAGUCUUUAAAGAGAAAAACUUGCCCAGGGACUCUGGCUUUCCCGGUCUCUGGGAGAGCAGAGAACCAGGCCUGUGAGCCACAGGAAAACAUCACCCCAAAGGACGGUGCACCCCCCGAUGCCCCAACCCUGCUCCAGGCGCAGUGCAGCUGCUGUUAGCCUUUGCUAGAACAAGCUCCCCACACCGCUGCCUUUCACCAGGAGCUGACCUCAUACCUGGAGGGGCACCAGGCUGCUGUGCCCGCCUCACCGUCCUAGUCCAAGUGUGGCCUUGGGGGCAGCAAGGGCUGCGCCAUGUGAAACCUCCUAUUUCUGGGGUGCCUGGCUUUGUGUCACUGAGCGGGCAUUUGCAUGGCCUGGGGAGGGGUUCAGAAGCUGUGUGAUCAAGGUGUAGUCAGGUGCCAUGUCCACUUCACCCAGCAUGACCAGUCGAAUACUCACCCCCAGAGGCAGUGGGCCCUAAUGUUUGCCAUCUGUGUGUGGGGAUCUGAUGUGGCUAAAGGGACCUUGAUUUGGGAAGGCGACCUCUGGUGCCCCUGGGGCUGGUGACACAGGAGGAGGCCAGCAGCCAAGGAAUGCAGGCAGACUGGAAAUGGAGGAAAAGGCAGGGGUGCAGGUUCUUCACUGGAGCCUCCAGAAAGAGCUACGCUUUUAAGACUUAACCCUGAGAAUCUUAUUUGAGCUUCUUGCAGUUCUGUGGUAUCAUCAUUCUGUGCUGUUUUGAGUCACCAGUUCUGAUAAUUUGUUUCGGCAGCCACGGGAAACUAACACACCCUCCAGACAUCUGCAGGUUGCAUGAAGCGGAGAUCAUUUCCUGUCCCAUCUGUGGCCCACGGUGCUUGGGAACAGCAGGGUCCCAGGAGGAGGAGGAGGACACUUGCACUCUGCAGCCAGCAGGGACGUUCCGCUGCUCUGCUGGGGAGAGAAUAAUCUGCGCUGUGCCCUUCGCUUGCACCGGGCAGCCUUGGCGUGGAAACAGCAUGGCGUGAGAGCUCCGCACGCCUCCCCCAGAGCCACAGGAGCCACCUGGAGCCAAUGCACCACUCCUGAGCUGCAGAUUGGAAAACAGCUCAAGCUGAAGGGCUUAAGGAAUCCCAGGGAACAAAAGCACCUGGAGAGGGCCUGCUUGGGAAUAACUCCUCAGCAAGCUGGAAAAUGCCUUGCACACCGCUGCUGCCUCUGGAACUCCUUUGGGGCAGGAAAGGCCCCUGGUCUUUAGAGCUCCUUCCCUGCAGAAACAGAGCUGUGGACAGCCAGGUGGGGGGCACUAGGGCGCUCUGCAGACGGGCUCUCUCCAUUUCCAUUCCUAGCUCAGGAGGGCACAGUUUUGCAGAGCACAGGGUAUAUGGGUGGGUUUGGGUGGGAGCUGGACCACACAGGCCGCUCAGCUUGCAGCUUCCCUAGGGCUGAUCCUAAACCCAGAGCAGACAGCCCUCUUCCCUGGGACAAGGGCUUCCUCUGGGCUCCCUGUCCUGUGACUCCUGCCCGUGAGAGGCUCCUUGUGCCAUGUACUCUGAUGUGACCAUAUGAUCCCUGUUGAGCUAAACUGCCAGUGGCCUCGGCCUUUCCCUGCCAUCUGUCCACUCUGUUGGGACGGAGGCUUCACAAAAACCCACGGCCCUCCUAUCCCACCCUCAGCCUGACCGUACUCCCAUGUGACUCCUCCGGAAGCUUCCUGAAUGCCUGGGUUUCUGCACCACCCCCGUGACCCAGACUCUCCAGGAACUCACUGCUGCUCGCUGGACUCUGGGGAGAAACUUAAACAGCACCAGCAAGCCUGGCCCAUCGCCUUUAUCUGCCUGCUUGUCCAGGGUGUAGACUGCUCUCAUCCUCUGACGUUGUGGGAGACAUCAAAACCUCAGCCUUGGUCCAGAGCAUUAAAUCUGCCAUCCUGGCUGCACCGGCAGCACAGGGAGAGUUGGGGGCAGGCAGCCGGGGUCCCUGUGUGAGCCUCUGAGAAAGGAUUCCUGGAAAUGCCUUCCUGGAAGUAAACUUUUUUCAAGGAGGAAGAAAGGGAGAGCUGGAGGCUUGAGCGAGAGCAGCUGAGCCGGAAACAGAUGUGCUGAGCGGCACCAUGGCAACGUCAAGGCUGGCGUCCACAGAGAGCUUGUACCAAGGUCAAGGUCACAGCACACAGCAUCGUGCUUUGUGUGCGUGGACAAUGGGUGACAUGGAGCCGCAGACACAGCUCCCAAAGUGGGUCUUCACAGCCAGUCCAAAGGGGGUGACCCAUGGCUCUGGAAACCAGUAUGUGUGGGUGCUGGGGUGUAUUUUGGAACACAUUACAUAGACACAGAUUCACAUACAUAUAUACAUGCAUAUAUAUAUGCAUACUUAUUUUUACAAGCAUCUCACUAUGGUUUUAUAGAAAUAUUGAAAAGCACAGGAAAUGAGCAAACACAUUAUUUCAACAAACAUAGUGGAAUUUUUUUCCUCUAGUGCUGGAGAUCAAACCCACAGCUUUGGCACUGAGCUACCUUCCCACCCCUGUGUUAUUUUUAUUUCUGUUGCAAACACAGGGUCUCACUAAGUGGCCCCGGCUAGACUUGAGCUUAAGACCAUCCCAUCGCAGCCUCCCAGAAUGCUUGGACUGCAGGUGGGAAAUUUUUGAUCAUUUUUGUGGUAUAAAAGCCCAACCCCCUCCCUGUUUUCCGAACGCCAGAGGACGUCAUUUCUCUGUUCCUUUGCACGGCUCACAGCUGGGUUGUGACAUCAUGAUGUCUCUCAGAAGGCUCCCGAGGGGGCAGUGAGAUUUGAGCCUGAGAUAUCUGAGGUCUGCUUUAUCAUCAGUGCCUGUGGCCACACUACUCCCCCCAGAGACUGUCCUUGGCACAGGAUGAACACACAGACUGUUCGAAGACACAUUUUCCUAACAUUUUAUGGAACAUAACUAUCAGAAGGUGGACGUGUCCCUGGCACUGUGAUCACACCACACACUUCCAGGUGCCUGCAUCAAUGGGCAUAGAUGAGUCCCUGGGGCAGCCGAGGAACACCCGUCCAUAGCGCUGGCUUCAUCCUGGGCACUUGGUUAGCUGAUCCUCCGGGGGCUGGGGAGGGUUCUCAUUCCCAGCAUCCAGUGCGGUUCUGGCUUCCUGACAGUAAACGCCCCAAAGGAAAGUCCUGGCUGCUAUCCGAUCAGCGACUCCUGAGGCUGAAACUCCGUGGUGCCCACUCUGCAGGCCCUUGGGACCUCAGGAAACACAGCAUGACAGGAAAGAUGCAAGAUAAGAUGCAGACCAAGUUUCUGACCCGCCAAACCCAAUAUUAAUUUAAGUUGGAGGAGAUAAGAGAGCCUUUAUCGGGAGACCGGGAGGUUAUCUGCUUUGAAAUAGUCUCUGUCCUGUUGUGCACUACCAAGAAGAAAGAGAGGCAGGGAGCGAGGGUUUCUCUCAGCAGACCUCUGGGUAAUUAACAGGCCAAGGGGUCUGGUGCUGCCUGACGGCUGGUCCCAUCCCGGGCGCCCUGCCUCCCGGGGCCCCAGCUGCCCCUCAGAGACUCAGGGCUCCGUAGAAGCGUCCAGGCUUCCUAACACGAACUUAAAAGUAAGUCUCUGUCUCUCAGUCUCUGUCUCUGUCUCUGUCUGUCUCUCCUGUCUCUCUGUCUGUCUCUGUGUCUCUCUCUGUGUAUCUGUCUCUCUGCCUCUGUCUCUGUCUCUCUGUCCCUCAACACUCAGCAAAUUUCUGAAUGACCAUAGGGAUCAGAGUGCCACUUUGUCCCCAAGCACCAGGAAAACAGAAGGCAAAGGGAGCAGGAGUGAUGGCGAGAGGGAUCCGGUCACAUCUGUGCAUGGGUCCCACGCUCAGAUCAGGUGAGAAGGGCCAGAACCCAAGCGCUGAGGCCUCUCACAAUCAAAGCCCUUGAACCAGAGCUGCUCUUGGUGGCACGCAGACCUGGCAGGUGCGCUGCCCUCUCCAGAUCCUCCAGGUAUCCCAGGGGGUUAUUGAUGCUGUGGAGAGCAAAACAUCGGAGCAGAUAUGAUCCCCUCACUGUGGUACAGCCACCUCGCAAAGAUCCGUCCUCAGCGGUGAAAACACCAUGCAUUAAAAAAAAAAAGCAGCCAGCCCAGGAGCUGGAAGCCAUCAUGAACCGUUGGCCCUCAGCCUCGCCGCUCUGCCUUGGAGCCAACUGAAUACGAACUGAAACCUCCAAAGAAUUGGGCUUCACCUCUGAAAUCAUCACCACGGGGAGAGGAAGGCAGGACAUGAAUUUGGAGGAGGCCUCAGCAUUCAGACCCUAGUGGAUACUGGACCUCACCGGCAGCUGUACCGUGAGGACACCCAAUUGCCUUCAACCCACCCAAACCCAAGCCAUCUUACAAUAGGAGAUCUGCCUAAGGAGCAUCAAUCUGGAGGCUCCGCUUCAGAGUCCCACGAGACGAUGCACCCAGCUGAGAUUUCACCCACUCGUCCGGAUGAACUCAGGAUACGCUUGAACUUGCGCUCCAAGAAGUCAAAGAUGGAUCAUUCCAGUUCCUGCUGGCCUGAAACUGUCCAGCGUGCUCAACCCGGAGGUGGCGAGUUACAGGGCUGCGACUUGGAAGGAGGCGUGGAGAAAGGCACGGCCAGGAGUCCCCGGAAGCCCACCUGGGAAGGCAGAAGGAGAACCGGGAAGCGCUAUUAACCCCAGGUCCAGCAGCGAGGGCACCCACCCCUUGGCACAGUUCCUUUUGUUUUUGUGGAUGCAGGCACUUUACAAGUGUUUUUGCCAAACCGUGUUUUCAGUGCACUGCGCACAGCUCUGCUUCUCUUUGUCAGAACCGGAUUCGCCUCACAGCUUCUUCCCAGCUCACCCUCCCGAGGGCACCGGCAGGCCCUCCUCCCGGGGUUCGCCAGUCUCCCUUGAACUGUGUCUGCCCUGAGAGUGAUUUUCCACCACGGGGCACUGGUCACCGUGACUUUGCAGAUAAGACACAGUUGAAUUAAUUCCCUAAGUGCCCAGCAGCUUCUGGGGAAGAUUAGAGGUGAAUUCACUGGAAAUAGAACAGUUCUGUGGCGAAGUCUGAGAAUGACUGGGGCAGAGGAGGAGGGAGAAAGUUCUCAGGGGCGCUGAGCUCUAACCACGGGGCACAAACCCACACCAGGAGCUUCCUGCUAGGCCGGGAAAACGGGGCCCGAAGAGGCUGGGACCUGUUGGGGUCUCGUGCAGAGCAGCCCCCCGAGUUUUCUCCAAGCAUCCGUGGCUCGAGUCCCUGCGUCAGCGACUCAGAGGGGAGCAGGACUGCUGUGCCAGCCAAAGCCUGCACAUGGGACCAUCUUACUCCGACCUCGAGGCAAUAUCGAAGACGAACUAUAAGCUGCAGUUUUGUAGGGACGAUCAGGACCUGAACAACUUGUGUGGCCCCUGGAAGGUGUCGCCUGGGCAGGGACGGGGCUUCCAAUCAGCAGCUCUAGCCAGAGUCCCUGGCUCCCAAGGCCCCAGGCUAGGAUCAGAGCUUGAGAGGGACUUCCGGUGAGGGCUUCAGGGGCAGGGUGACGGUUGUCACGCUGUGGCCUCUCUCUGCAUCCUACCGAUCCAAUGCAAGGUCCCUUCCUUGGAAAGCUCCUGCCCUGUCCCAGUCCUCUCCGCAAAGCAGGUGCGACUGCCACCUCGCAGCCAGGAGCAUGUGGCCUCUGCCCUCAUGGGACCAUCCUAGGGCUGUGGCUCUCCGAGCACUGGUCUUCUCUUCAGAGCAAAACGACGCCACUCACAGAGGGCUGGUGGCAGGUGGUAUGUCACGGGCGCCUCAGUGACAUUCAGCGGUGGCCGUUGGCACAUGGCUUGGAAAGUUGGAGCUGACCCUUUGGCUUUACCUGACAGAUGGCUCACACCCCUCCGAGGCUUUCCCCAGGGGCCGUCCCUGGUCCAGAAGGGAACUGGAAGCACCUUGUGUGUCACACUCACCUGUCUCUGCUUGCUGGAAGGUCACCCUCGAGGAGGACAGAGACUGUUCCCGUCUGCUUGUUCACGGCUUUGUUUUCUGUGCCUGGCUGGGAGCUGACUUGGUCCCAGCGUGAGCCAGGUCACAUCAGCUGAAGGAAGCAUUAGGUCAGAUGUCACCAAGAAGGAAGCCGAGGAGCCUGGGAGCCUCACUGCUGUGCCGAGGACGGCUGAGCUCACCCUCACGCCCGGCUGCCUCUCAGUACUUGGCCUGGACUGCUCUGGACAGGUGGGCUAGAAUCACAGCCGGAGGCUCCAACUCGGCCGUGUUGCCUUCGGCUGUUCCGUCUGCACGUGGAGGAGCUGAGGAGACGGAAGACCCAGGACGUCCCAGAGCCCCGCAGCGCCCCGAGCCCUGGGACCCAGGUUCCUUUCUGUCUGAGAAACUCUGGGGGCUCGGUGCUGGGCAGAUGAUGGCGUGAGAGUCCCUCAUCCUAACCCCAUGCAGUUCCCUGCAGACGGAGAGACGAGAGGCCAGGCAGGCCUCCUGCUGGAAGGUUCCUCUUGAGGGAGAGCGAUCUGUCAUUACGGGCCUGGCUGAGUUAUACUGUUUCCUAUUAAGAUGAGUCUGAGUGAAUCUUUAGUGACAGAACACUGCGUCUGCACAGAUUUAGAAGCUGCAUAUUAAACUGGCCACCUCCAUCUGGACUGCUGGCCCCUCUCCAGAGCCAUCUAUCACCCGCAGAGCCAGCGAGCCACGCGAGGUCCCUGCAGAUGUCGGGCACAGCUGGAGGAAGGAUGCCCAUGUGCUCAUCACUCGAGGAGGCUCCUGGGGUCCCCUUCCAGCACCGCUCUGACCUUAGGUUCAGAGAGUCCCCUGGGGGAGGGAUCCAGGUUGUGUGCCCACGCCAUCCUCUCUGCUGCCCGGGUGCUGGCUGUGGUUCCCAUCAGUGUCCUUGCCCCCGGGCUCCUCUGUCCUGCUCUGCAAAGCACUGGCUCAUCCGCCAAGGUCCUCCAGGACUGGAGAGGAAAGACCCACUUAGUGGAACGGCUUCAGGCCACGCCCACCUCCCCGGAGGCCUGCGGAGUUCUAGGGCCUUCUUUGGGAGUUUCCAGGCUCAGCCCCAUGGUGACACGGAUGCUCGAGGACCCUGGCUUGAGUCUCUUCCAGUUCCCCCAUCCUGGUCCUUCUGGGACACAGCGCCCAGUCUGCACGCAGCACCGAGGCCAUCCGAUUCCACAUGGGGUGGUUACCCUCGCCUCUAGCCUCUGGCCCCUCCUGUAAGAGCGGCAGCACCACACCCGUGCCUGCUCUGUGGUAGCCGUGAUGCUUGGUGAAGACUCCGAGGCCCCAGCAGAACCACCAGGGGGAUGAGAGGCGACCCGAGCCCUCUGCUUGGAGAGCCACCUGUGAGCCCCACAGAGGGCGGCAGGCACAUUUCAGGGGGUGAGGCCUCUCGCCUGACAUCUGUUCGCUACCCAACUGUAAUUAGGAAUGUGUGCAGUUUUUAGAAUGACAGCUUCACGGGACCCCUUUGGACGUCCUCUGUCUGCUCUGUUUUCAUCAUGCAGGUCCCAGCUGGACUCCCGUGCCGCGGUGACAGCCACGGGUGCUCCUCGGUGGCUGGGCUGUCUCGGCCGUGAGCCUUUCCCAGCACCUCCUCCUCCUACGUGUUAUCUGUGCCCAUUUCCUCUCUGAGUUACUAGGGUAAAAACAAAAACCCUUCGUAGAAAUUUCUUCAUCCUGACGUGUCUCUCUGCUGCUUGAGUUUCCACCCAGAUCGGUAGAGAGGGACACACACGCGUGCACACGGGAAAAGGAGGGGGCGUGCUUUGCCUCCCCCUUUAAAUAACUAACGCUUCAGGAAAAUCAAAUUACCCCAAGGAGAGAAGGAGCAGACUUGGAGCCCGGAAAUGCCAGAGGUGAAGAAAGCAAUCCAGCCUGCGACUCUUCUGACGGGGCUCGGAGGCAGGAGAAAAUAACAGGGUGCCAGGGCCCGGCUACACUGCUGCUCAUGCACUCAGCUUGUGUGCGGGGAGCCCGUUUUCGUGUUAAAUUCAAGCUCAUUUUAAAAGUCUGAGUUGAUCCUGUAUAGGCAGAGCCCGGGAUCUCCGACGUGGGAGCCUCCUCGGACGCGCCUGCUGGUCUCUGGAGCCCUCGAGUGACAGCCAGUGGCAGCUUUGCAGAUCAUUUUCCCUCUUAAUGGGACAUGGGGAGAGCGACGUGCAAGUCCACAUCCAACAUCACAGGACAGAAAGAGGCUCCUCUUUCCAGGAGGCCACUCCGCACAUUAAUAUGAUGGGAACAUCGCAGAUGCCGAAAGCUGAGGUGGGACCAGGCAGCUGGGUGACUGCGUCUGGCCGCCUCCCCUGGCUCACCUCGGCCCUGGCAGUUCAAAGAACUAUACUGACAGGAACUAUCCUGAUGCUGUGUUUGUGGAUGGCUUGGGCCUGGGCAUGGGAUCCGGAAUAGAUUCUCGAUAGGAAAGCAGUACCAUCGAUGCCCUGGCAACCAGGGGCACAGGCUGAGCCUCCACCACUGUGUUCUCCGUGGCUCUGCAGGGGCUGUCGGGACAGACCUGGCUGUGCCUGCUGACAAAAGCUGGCAGGCCUUCGAUAGUGAGCUCGGAACGUGCACGUCCCUGUGUGUUAGUGAUGUACUGCGUGUGUCUGUCUCGGGCACAGCCCCCAUGCAUGGACCUGGAGGCGGAGCUGUGGGAAGCAGUCAGUGUAAGUGGAGCCCUGUAGCGGACCAGCAUCCCCUUGCAGGUGAGCACAUCUGAGGAGCUGGGCUCGGGCAAAGCAGGAAGAGAAGGGUGAUCAGGUACGGAGUCUGUGCCACCUUGACCAGGAGCUCACCAGGCUCCUAGAGUAGAAGAACCCACUUUCUGGGGCCCCAAUCACCAGGCCACGGCGGUGGCUGGGCAGCUGGUGCUGUGGGUACCAGCUCUACUGUAUCCCAGCAUCCAUUCCUGUGACUGCAGGUGGAGCCCAGGGCCGGUCGGUCACCUGUUAGGGUGAGGAUUGCUGUGCUGCAGUCAGGAAUCACCACCUGCCCCCAUGAGUUUCAGACACUGCUGUCCAUCGGUCAGAGGGCAGGCUGCCCAGGAGCAAACACGGGUCUGGCUGGCCUAGUCCCUGGCUUCCUCUGCCCUCCCCAGGGGUUCAGAUUGGGGUUCAGCUUGACCUCGUGCUUUAUGAUGGGGGCCGGAGCCCAGGCUGUGAGUCCACAACCAGGCAGGAGCAGGAGCCUUGGGGAGGCCACUGGGUGCCAUGAGAAUUCUGCAAACGUCAUGACCUUGUGAACGGCUUCACUACUUGGGGUCAGCUGCUGCCAGAGUGGGAGCCCGGCCGAGAUGUGGUAUUUAUUCUGCUCAAAGAGCCCUGUCCCCCUCGGGCCGGAGCAGGCUGCUACCCAUGGUCUGCACACCCUCAGCCUGUGCCUCUAGCCCGGGGGGCUCCCUGCCUCCCCUCCCUCCCUGCUCCUGCUGUCUGGCUCUGUCUUCCCCGUGUUGCACACAUAAUCUGAAACAGAAACGAAUAUGCAAAAGCCACUUUCUGUUUUAAUCAGGUUUGGAGGAAAAUAUGUCUAACAUGCCACUUUGCCCGUGGAUAAAAUGUUUGACAUUUACCAGGCUGCCGUGAAUCCUGUCGAACAUCUCCAUUUUCAAAUGCCACUCCACAGCUCCUGGCGCCGGGGUUCGAAAGGCACUUGUCCUACCAAGUGUGAUCCUUACUGAAAAUAUUAAGCAGACUCCUGGCUCAUUUAGAGCUGUGGAGAAUAGCACUGGAAUACAAACUCCCACUUCAGGAGGGAGACAGACAGGUGUUCCCACCACAGAGGGAGGAGGAAGUGGGCCCAGGCCUGAGACCCCACCUCCCUUUGCUGCCUAGCAUGUCGCUGUCCUCCGCACUGAGGGUCCCCGAACACCCCGGGGUGAGGCCUGAAGCUGAUGACAGGAGGAAUCUGCACCUGGGCUUUGCCUAGCCAGCAUCCCCGAGCCACUGUCCCCACUUCCUGUCCACACUGGGGAUUUGCGAUUCUCGCACCCUGUUCAAAGGAGGCCUGGAUCUAAGCAGGCAAAGACACAGGAGCUGAGCUCGGGUGACUCAGGCCUAGAUGGAGCUUUCUGGGGGUGAUCAAUGUGCAGGGGACCCCGGCUUCACUCCCUCCACGGAUGCCGAGGUCUGAGUGCUGGACCCUCUGUUGCCAGAGCUCACUCUGUACUCAGAUCCUGACACACAGUCAAAAGGGCCUGAGCGGCAGGGGGCCACUGUCCUAUCCCUUCCUCACUGGAGGCCACAGCAGCUCUGCCUGGAGACCCCGCCCAGAGAGCCCUUCCCAGACACCAGGUCUGCUCAUACCUUGGCUUUGCAAUUCCCAGACUCCAGAGUGCUGAGAAAGAAGUUUCUAUUGUUUACAAAUCCCCCGUCCUCAGCCAGGAAUAUAAUUCACUUUGCCCUGAGCCCACUCCUGGGACCCAGGAAUAAAGGCAGACGCCUCCUCCCAGGGGCCUGGCUACAUGAGGUCCUGACCUGAGCCAGCAGUGUCAGAGUUGGGUAGGGAACUUCGGAUUUGAACGCGGGCUCUGGUACCUGUAGACACUUUGCAUGGUGUCCCUUUUGCUUACGGAGGUCCCCACCAUUGCUGAGCUGGAGCACCUGUCUGCUAGAAAGACAGAAAGGGAAUCCUGCAUUGAAAGGGGUGCUUGAUCUGUGGGUGGAGGUAAUAGGGAGCCAUUGCAGGUUAUGAGUAAGGGCUGGUUUCAAAGCGGUGCUCAGAGAGGUGUCAGGUAAUAGGAAGCAGGCAAGGGUCCCAGUCCCUGUGACCCUGAGCGGCAGGGCUGGGGUGGAAGAGAGACCCAGGGAAGAUGUGGAAUACAGACAGGAAGGCUGGGGCUGGAGGGCUGUGUGAGGGCCCAGGUGCCUAUGUGUGUGUGUGUGGGGGGGGGCGCCAGUGCCAUAGCUGGCCUGGUAGCAGCUGCCUGCUGGAGGUUGGGGUUGCACGGUGCUUGUGGCCCAGGGAAUGACCUUGAGGCUCUGUCUCAUCUGCCAGGGACACUGUGGGCCACUCACCAGCAAACGUCCUCCUCCCUGUGCAGCAGGUGCCGACCUCAGGGUGCAGAGGACCCCACAAACUUAUGCACACUUGGCCUCCCGGGAUCCGGGGAUUUCUGUGCACCAGAUUUAAAUCUUUGCUCACAUCCUAUCCUGAUGGACUUGGCCUCGUGGGAAUGUCGGUUGCAUGCACACAUGUUGCUUUGGGAGAAGACUGUGUGUGUAAGCAUGUGUGAGUGCUGUAAGGAUGUGUGUGUCUGUGUGGGCAAACAGAUGCUUUGACAGAGUGGACCGGGGUGCGGAACUGUCCGCCACAGCUGCCUCCUCGUGCGCACUCCCAGCGCUCUCGAACCCUUCCCAGCUGAUUGUGUGCUCACUCCAGCCCUGCUCGCCAGAUGAACCAAGCAGGGAACAGACUCUUCUGCCUAAUGAGAAUUUAAAUUUCCGACUUUGUUAGAGGCUUGAGCCUGCAGACGCAGCGUGAUGCACAUUUCUAAGAGCUCAGCAGGAAGCGGAGGCGCUGGAUCCUGAGCUCUGCCUGCAUCCCCUCCUGAGCCCCCCCACCCCGCCCUUCAGGAGCUUGGUAACACAAGAUGCUCCACCUCGAGGGCCAGCUGGAACCACUCUGUUCCCAGCAUUUAUCCAGUGUUAUCUGUGUGGGAGGAGACGUACACCAUGGUGGGACAUUCCGUGUUCCUAGACUUGCAGGACAGUGUGAACUCGGGGCUCAGAUUCAGGCUUGUAAUCUGUUUAAUCUCGCUAAGACCCCAUGCUGCUAUCUGCAACAUGAGCCUCUUGUGGGGUUCCUGGGAGUGUGUGGGAUGCACUCUGUACUCACCGCAGGCAGCCAGGACCCCUCGAGGCACACACCAUCCCCUUAAUCAAGACCACAUGGCAGAGAGCUGGUGUUGCGCAAUUGCCGAGAGACCCUCAGGAAGCAUUUCUAAGCCAUUUCAAAGCCCUUCUCCAUGUCUUUGUUCCAAGUUGUGCUGCCUUAUGUUUUAUUAGUUCAAACCUCCUGAAACCCUUUGGAGGAGGAGGCUUUUACAUCUUGAAUGCUGGUGAGGUCUUUUACUCAUGUUGGCAACUUGGAUGCCCAGGGCACUCAGAGGCGAGGACUGCAUGCCAGGGACAGCAGAGCCCAGAGUGGAGGGAGUGCUCGGCUGCCAAGAGGAGCCUUUGUUCAUGGGUGCUGUGGGCAUUUGCCCAGCCCUGAGCUUCUCUUGGUUCUUCGGCUGUGGGGUGCUGCCUCCCUCUGCCCCCCGCCUUGGCACAGGCAAGCAAGGCUGCUGGGUGCUGCAGUAUUUAGCUUGCUCCUGCUUGGGGGGCCUUUGCAGGAAGAGUUUAGCUUUUGCAGAGAGCUGUGUCCCUCCUUGGGUUGUACCAGAGACUGAACUUGAGCCUCCACAGGGCUCCUGCUUCACCCACGUGUGCAGUGGGCUGCAGCAUCACUCUGACACACCAGGCACAGUAGGGUCCUUUUCCCGGAUGUGCGGGAUGGGCACAGGCCGCUGUCACCCGACAGGCUGAAGGGUGGCGACCCUUCCUCUCUCCACAUUUCCAAUGCUGCUUGGCCCCUUGAGCACCUCAGGGUGCUGCUCACAGGCUCAGAAGGUGGCCAAAGAGGGUCGUGAAGUGCUGAGCUGCAGUCCUGGCUCGAUUUUACACGGAAAGUAAGAGGAAGAAGAAAACUCAUCUUUUCGAGGGCAACGAAGAUUUAUGGUGGUCCGAGAGCCAGUGCCUCCUGGGUGUAUUGUCCCAUUUUAAAUCCACCUGGACCUGCCAAAUCUUUGUGAAAUGAGUCCUUUGCAAACACUGGCCCUUCCCCCAACCGGUCUCACGCUUCAACUGCUCAAUCUCCGCUGCCCGCUGGACAGAGAUUCUGAAUCCAGUGUCUCCCUUCCCAUCCAUUUUUUGAUCAUGUGCAACUCCUCAGAGCCUCUUUGAAAUGCCAGCAUUCCAGGACCAACCUGAACCCCCUCAUUUCACUGAAAGCUGCUCCUUUUGAAUGAGGCUCUUUUUGAGUGAGGCGUUUAGAAGUCAGGAUUUGACCUGCAGGAAAUAACCCAGUAAGAAUGGCGGAGCAUGAAGUGUGGACCAACACCUGUACAAUGGGUGGUGUUAUGACCCAGUCCAGGCACCAGGGGGCAGCACAUCUCGGCUGGGUCCUUAACUCAGAGACAAAAAGACUCUCGGGACAUGGGGGCUGGGUGCACAGAGAGACCUGACAGCAUCCAGGUGAAGUCCUUUGAUGGCAACUUUGCUCAGCUGACUUAAAGACAUCUCACCACAGAGCUUUAGGGUGACCAUCCCGGAUACUCACAUCCUAGGCUGAUCUGUGGUGUGUGCCCAGGAUGAAUCCUCUUGCCUCUGACCUUUGGAAUACAUACAAUGCACAUAGCCAAAAUAAACGCUUAUUUUGAAAUAAUUUUAGAUUUACAGAAAGCUGCAGGGCAGCAAAGAGCAUCCUCACAGUCCUCCCGCCCAGCUGCUGUGAAUUCCUCACAGAACCGUGACAUGCUGACUAAAACUGAGAAAUUGAUACUGGUAGUACACUAGGAGCUCAGGC